rnacentral:rRNA from 1 species
UAAUGCCUAGGAAUCUGCCUGGUAGUGGGGGAUAACGUCCGGAAACGGGCGCUAAUACCGCAAACGUCCUACGGGAGAAAGCAGGGGACCUUCGGGCCUUGCGCUAUCAGAUGAGCCUAGGUCGGAUUAGCUUGUUGGUGAGGUAAUGGCUCACCAAGGCUGCGAUCCGUAACUGGUCUGAGAGGAUGAUCAGUCACACUGGAACUGAGACACGGUCCAGACUCCUACGGGAGGCAGCAGUGGGGAAUAUUGGACAAUGGGCGAAAGCCUGAUCCAGCCAUGCCGCGUGUGUGAAGAAGGUCUUCGGAUUGUAAAGCACUUUAAGUUGGGAGGAAGGGUUGUAGAUUAAUACUCUGCAAUUUUGACGUUACCAACAGAAUAAGCACCGGCUAACUUCGUGCCAGCAGCCGCGGUAAUACGAAGGGUGCAAGCGUUAAUCGGAAUUACUGGGCGUAAAGCGCGCGUAGGUGGUUUGUCAAGUUGGAAGUGAAAGCCCCGGGCUCAACCUGGGAACUGCUUUCAAAACUGGCAAGCUAGAGUAUGGCAGAGGGUGGUGGAAUUUCCUGUGUAGCGGUG